rnacentral:rRNA from 1 species
GGAGAACUCGGGUGAAGGAACUAGGCAAAAUGGUGCCGUAACUUCGGGAGAAGGCACGCUGAUAUGUAGGUGAGGCGACUUGCUCGUGGAGCUGAAAUCAGUCGAAGAUACCAGCUGGCUGCAACUGUUUAUUAAAAACACAGCACUGUGCAAACACGAAAGUGGACGUAUACGGUGUGACGCCUGCCCGGUGCCGGAAGGUUAAUUGAUGGGGUUAGCGCAAGCGAAGCUCUUGAUCGAAGCCCCGGUAAACGGCGGCCGUAACAAUAACGGUCCUAAGGUAGCGAAAUUCCUUGUCGGGUAAGUUCCGACCUGCACGAAUGGCGUAAUGAUGGCCAGGCUGUCUCCACCCGAGACUCAGUGAAAUUGAACUCGCUGUGAAGAUGCAGUGUACCCGCGGCAAGACGGAAAGACCCCGUGAACCUUUACUAUAGCUUGACACUGAACAUUGAGCCUUGAUGUGUAGGAUAGGUGGGAGGCUUAGAAGUGUGGACGCCAGUCUGCAUGGAGCCGACCUUGAAAUACCACCCUUUAAUGUUUGAUGUUCUAACGUUGACCCGUAAUCCGGGUUGCGGACAGCGUCUGGUGGGUAGUUUGACUGGGGCGGUCUCCUCCUAAAGAGUAACGGAGGAGCACGAAGGUUGGCUAAUCAUGGUCGGACAUCAGGAGGUUAGUGCAAUGGCAUAAGCCAGCUUGACUACGAGCGUGACGGCGCGAGCAGGUGCGAAAGCAGGUCAUAGUGAUCCGGUGGUUCUGAAUGGAAGGGCCAUCGCUCAACGGAUAAAAGGUACUCCGGGGAUAACAGGCUGAUACCGCCCAAGAGUUCAUAUCGACGGCGGUGUUUGGCACCUCGAUGUCGGCUCAUCACAUCCUGGGGCUGAAGUAGGUCCCAAGGGUAUGGCUGUUCGCCAUUUAAAGUGGUACGCGAGCUGGGUUUAGAACGUCGUGAGACAGUUCGGUCCCUAUCUGCCGUGGGCGCUGGAGAACUGAGGGGGGCUGCUCCUAGUACGAGAGGACCGGAGUGGACGCAUCACUGGUGUUCGGGUUGUCAUGCCAAUGGCACUGCCCGGUAGCUAAAUGCGGAAGAGAUAAGUGCUGAAAGCAUCUAAGCACGAAACUUGCCCCGAGAUGAGUUCUCCCUGACCCUUUAAGGGUCCUGAAGGAACGUUGAAGACGACGACGUUGAUAGGCCGGGUGUGUAAGCGCAGCGAUGCGUUGAGCUAACCGGUACUAAUGAACCGUGAGGCUUAACCU